rnacentral:ribozyme from 1 species
AGUCUGUCCCAGGCAAUCAAACUGGGGAAGACUGAUGGCAAAACACGGGAAAAUAAAUUCCCCCGGCACAUUACCCAUC